AUUGAACGCUGGCGGCAGGCCUAACACAUGCAAGUCGAGCGGAUGAAGGGAGCUUGCUCCUGGAUUCCGCGGCGGACGGGUGAGUAAUGCCUAGGAAUCUGCCUGGUAGUGGGGGAUAACGUCCGGACACGGGCGCUAAUACCGCAUACGUCCUGAGGGUGAAAGUGGGGGAUCUUCGGACCUCACGCUAUCAGAUGAGACUAGGUCGGAUUAGCUAGUUGGUGGGGUAAAGGCCUACCAAGGCGACGAUCCGUAACUGGUCUGAGAGGAUGAUCAGUCACACUGGAACUGAGACACGGUCCAGACUCCUACGGGAGGCAGCAGUGGGGAAUAUUGGACAAUGGGCGAAAGCCUGAUCCAGCCAUGCCGCGUGUGUGAAGAAGGUCUUCGGAUUGUAAAGCUCUUUAAGUUGGGAGGAAGGGCAGUAAGUUAAUACCUUGCUGUUUUGACGUUACCAACAGAAUAAGCACCGGCUAACUUCGUG
rnacentral:rRNA from 1 species